GUUGAAACACCGGUUUCCGUACGAUCACCGAAGUUAAGCAACGCAGAGCUUGGCCAAUUCCAUGAUGGGCAACCGCUUCGGGAUAUCAGGUGCUGUAAG